rnacentral:rRNA from 1 species
AUUGAACGCUGGCGGCAGGCCUAACACAUGCAAGUCGAGCGGGAACUUCGGUUCUAGCGGCGGACGGGUGAGUAAUGCGUAGGAAGCUACCCGACAGAGGGGGAUACCAGUUGGAAACGACUGUUAAUACCGCAUAAUGUCUACGGACCAAAGUGUGGGACCUUCGGGCCACAUGCUGUCGGAUGCGCCUACGUGGGAUUAGCUAGUUGGUGAGGUAAUGGCUCGCCAAGGCGACGAUCCCUAGCUGGUUUGAGAGGAUGAUCAGCCACACUGGAACUGAGACACGGUCCAGACUCCUACGGGAGGCAGCAGUGGGGAAUAUUGGACAAUGGGCGCAAGCCUGAUCCAGCCAUGCCGCGUGUGUGAAGAAGGCCUUCGGGUUGUAAAGCACUUUCAGUAGGGAGGAAGAGUUGAGUGUUAAUAGUACUCAGCUUUGACGUUACCUACAGAAGAAGCACCGGCUAACUCUGUGCCAGCAGCCGCCGUAAUAC